GGCUGGUCUGAUGGUAGUGGAUUAUCAGAAUUUAUUAACAUUGUUGUCACUAAAAUUGGUAUACAACCUCCACUGUUAAUUUAACUGGCUUUUU
rnacentral:Y_RNA from 1 species